rnacentral:rRNA from 1 species
AACGAACGCUGGCGGCAUGCCUAACACAUGCAAGUCGAACGAGACCUUCGGGUCUAGUGGCGCACGGGUGCGUAACGCGUGGGAACCUGCCUUUAGGUUCGGAAUAACUCAGAGAAAUUUGAGCUAAUACCGGAUGAUGUCUUCGGACCAAAGAUUUAUCGCCUUUAGAUGGGCCCGCGUUGGAUUAGCUAGUUGGUGGGGUAAAGGCCUACCAAGGCGACGAUCCAUAGCUGGUCUGAGAGGAUGAUCAGCCACACUGGGACUGAGACACGGCCCAGACUCCUACGGGUGGCAGCAGUGGGGAAUAUUGGACAAUGGGCGAAAGCCUGAUCCAGCAAUGCCGCGUGAGUGAUGAAGGCCUUAGGGUUGUAAAGCUCUUUUACCCGAGAUGAUAAUGACAGUAUCGGGAGAAUAAGCGCCGGCUAACUCCGUG